rnacentral:rRNA from 1 species
AUGAAGGUUCUGUGUCGAUUACUGUUACCUGAACACCAUCAAAAUCAAGAACAAGUUCCCCUCCCGGUCAUCGACGAACUGUUGGAUGAGUUAGUCGGAACGACAAUUUUCUCCAAGAUCGAUUUGCACGCAGGCUACCACCAAAUUCGUAUGCGCGAGAGCGACGAGGAAAAGACGGCGUUCAAGACCCAUCACGGCCAUUUCCAAUUCCGUGGCAUGCCGUUCGACAUCACCAACGGACCACCAAUGUUCCAGUGUCUAAUGAAUUAUGUCCUCUCCGGUCCAAAUCGUAAGUUCGUCAUCACAUUUUUGGAUGACAUUUUGGUGUUCAGUCAUUCCUUGCAGGAUCACGUGGAGCACUUGCGCAUGGUGUUUGCAAUCCUCUGCCAUUGUACGCCAAGCGCUUGA